AGAGUUUGAUCCUGGCUCAGGACGAACGCUGGCGGCGUGCCUAACACAUGCAAGUCGAGCGGAGACAGUGAGUAGCUUGCUAUGAGCUGUUUUAGCGGCGGACGGGUGAGUAACGCGUGAGCAACCUUUCCCAGACAGGGGUAAUAACACGACCGAAAGGUGUACUAAUACCGCAUAAGACCACGGGAUCACAUGGUUCUGGGGGUAAAAGAUUUAUCGGUUUGGGGUGGGCUCGCGUCCGAUUAGGUAGUUGGUGAGGUAACGG
rnacentral:rRNA from 1 species